rnacentral:rRNA from 1 species
GAUGAACGCUAGCUACAGGCUUAACACAUGCAAGUCGAGGGGAAACGAUAUUGGAAGCUUGCUUCCGAUAGGCGUCGACCGGCGCACGGGUGAGUAACGCGUAUCCAACCUGCCCACCACUUGGUGAUAACCUUGCGAAAGUAAGACUAAUACCCAAUGAUAUCUCUAGAAGACAUCUGAAGGAGAUUAAAGAUUUAUCGGUGAUGGAUGGGGAUGCGUCUGAUUAGCUUGUUGGCGGGGUAACGGCCCACCAAGGCGACGAUCAGUAGGGGUUCUGAGGGGAAGGUCCCCCACAUUGGAACUGAGACACGGUCCAAACUCCUACGGGAGGCAGCAGUGAGGAAUAUUGGUCAAUGGACGAGAGUCUGAACCAGCCAAGUAGCGUGCAGGAUGACGGCCCUAUGGGUUGUAAACUGCUUUUAUAAGGGAAUAAAGUGAGCCUCGUGAGGCUUUUUGCAUGUACCUUAUGAAUAAGGACCGGCUAAUUCCGUGCCAGCCGCCGCGGUAA